AAUGGCCUGUCUCCCGAUGUUUCAGCCUACUCUACCCUUAUAGAGGGUUUCCUCGUUUCUAAUAGGUUAGAAACUGUUAAAUCAUUAUUUUAUUAAAUGUCAUCCCAUCAUGUCAAACCCAAUCUGCCCAUGUCGCCUUUGUCUUUUCUUAUACCUCUUCAGUCAAUGAUAGGAGAAAACUUGACAAGAUGCGGUGCAAAUUGAUAAACAACUUAGGUAAUCUCAUGUCUUAUUCGAGUACAUUACUGAUUCCUUUGAUGUGUGUGGCUGUAUCUAUAAACGUUUCUGUAAUGCCCAAUAAAUCCUUAAUUUCUCCAUUGUCCGAUUUCUUAAACCCCCUGAAGCUCGUCAGUUUGCUCUCCUUAAAUCUCAAUUUGCAAAUCAUAAGUUUGCAUUUGCAUACAAAUGUAUCUCCAAACUUGUUGAAAAAGGAACUGCAUUGGUUGUGGCGCGAGUAAUUCUCCAUCCUUCAGAAGGGCAGAUGGUGAAAUUGUUUGGGAACCAUUUAAUGCGUUCAACAUCUAUAAGACGAUUGAACUGCUUUUGACUGAAAUGGAUAAGGUCAAGAAGGAUGGUGGUAUUAUGAUCUGAGUGCUACUGACUACUUCAAUCACGACUAUGAUUUCGUGACCGAUGAAGAAGAUGAGGAUGAUCGCGAGGAUUUGGAUGCGCUUAAGUUUUGGGUUUGGAGAGAUGGAAAGUGGACAAAAGAGUUUGUUUUCAAAACGUAUGGUGUUGGGAGGCCGCUGAGGUUUCAGAUGACGAUAGGCUGUUGUACUUUGCUAGUGUGAAUGAUCAGCUGGUGGUGUUUGAUCGCGCCACCGAAGAGAUGAAGCAUCUUGGUGUCCCUUGUGCUUUCGAUUCCAACAAGGAGAUCGUGUUUCCGUUCUCUCUGGACCCUGGUAAAAUCACUUUAAUCUAAUUUAACAUUUAAGUUGGUUUGUAGUACUAGUAUAUAGUAGUAUUAGCUUUGUUGAACUCAAUGAAUUUCAGAUUAUGAAAACCUUGUUGCAAUUUUUGUA